GCAAGAAAUGAUUUGAAGAACUGCACAUUGCUGUCAUGAUAACACAGUGAAAGAAUAUAUCCUAAAUCUUAACUAACUUAACAUUGUUAUGUCAAGAGUGAAAUUGCUGUAGCUGUUUAAU